UGCUAAAGUUGAAACACACAAUAAAAGUAGAAUCAAAGUGAACUCUUGUAAAUAUUUAGUACUGUGUGAUAAUCUUAAACAUAAAAAAUAAAUAAGUUAAUGAUGUGUCACCAUUGUGCAUCUCAAUUAUUGAAAGGAAUAAGUAUUUAGAGGCAAACUUGAGCUGGAGGACGUAGAGUGGGCAGGCUUGGAAAGCCUAGGUGGACCGACGAUCUGGUGAAGGUCGCGGGAAGUGGUCGGAGGAGGUCAAAAUGAUUUCGUGCUUACAAUAAAGUAUUUACUUCGCAAACCAUCUUCCAACUACAUGGGUGCGAUUGCUGAAAAUCAUAAUUCUCCUAAAGCAUGUAG